rnacentral:lncRNA from 1 species
ACAAUUUUAGGGUGCAGUAAAGGCAGAAAGGAUAGUUGCAGAGUAGGGAAUAGAUGUGAGUUAUAGAUUAGGACUGAUGGGAAGAUUGUUUACCAUAAUUAGAGGCAAGGGGGCAUAAAGAACGAGGAAGUUACUCUUUGAAAAUAGAGAACAAAGAACAAGGAAGCUGAACAAGCUGACUCUUCUUUGAAGAGGAACCCACCGUACCCAACACCAGAAAGACUAUAACCUUGCUUUGAAGGCUGGGAGUCCAAGAUCCAGGUGUCAGCAGUGUUGGUAUCUCCUGUGGCCACUCUCCUGGGCUUGCAGACGGCGUCUUCUCCCUGUGUCCCCACAUGACCACCCUUCUCCACCUUAGCAUCCCCGGUGUCUCUGUGUGUCCGGAUGUCCUUUUCUCAUGAGGGAAGUGAACUUGACAUGGUUUAGCAACCAAAUAAAGCCAUACGUCACUGCUGCUCUUUGAAGAUAAUGAAAUCUGGCAUCGAGAUCUUUAUCUUUGCAGGAACCAAAGGCCAGAGACUUCUCAGCAAACACAAGACCAGAGAGAGAAGCAUCCCUGCUGAUGAGAAAGAACAGACACUCCCAGAGGACAAGGUCCACCUGUCAGGCAGCCACAGCCCAGCAUACUCUGGAGUCUGAGGUGGGGGUCAGUUGUGAAGAAAGGGAAGAAGGAAGAAAAAGGAUACGUUGUGCUCCGACCACAGGCCAAGGUCAGAAGACGGUAUUUACCAAGUCUCUUCCCAAAAUACUUGCAAAUGCACAUAAUCUCAAAGUGUUUUUGAGGGCUCUUCCGAUCUAAAAUUGGUCCUAGUGACAAGGGGUGUUUGGGGAAAUCAAAGGGCUGGCUUAACUAUGUAGACCUAGGUCUGGUCUUAUUUCUGGCCCAUACGAUCAUCAUGACCUUGGACAAAUGAAACUUCCUGGGCCUCAAGUUCCUUGUAUCAGAAAGGAUGGCAUUCAGCUGCGUACAACAGAAAACCAAAUCACAGUGGCUUAUCCAAGAAAAGUUCAAUUUUUCUCAAAACUACAGCGUCCUGGGCUGAUGCGGCAGCCCCAGGACGACCUCAGCAUCUCACUCCUCCUUUCUUUACUCGGCCCCAUCCUCAGGCUGUGACUUUCAUCCUCAGGUUUGUCAUCUUUUGGUGGUAAGAUGGUUGCUCUACCUCAAGCUCACAAAAAGAAAUGGGGGAAAGCAGGAAAGAAGAAAAUCUGCUUCCCCAGAGACUCUGAGGCUGCACUUGCACAUCUUAUGGAUCCAAACUGUGUCCCAUGGCUGCCCCUAGAUGCAAGGGGCCUGGGGAAAUGAGCGGAUUCAUCAGGUACACUGCAACCGUACAUGAAAGGAAAGUUCUGUCAAUAAAGAAGAGCGAAAUCUACAUUUGGUCAGGAAACAGCAUUGCCUGCAAUAUGCCUCAUAUGAAAUAAAGCCUUUCUUGCCCCCAUUCUGCUACUCGGUCAUUCUUGCACUCAACAAAUAGAUGUUGAGUGCCCACUCUCUCCAGGCCAUGUUCUAGGUGCUGCGGAUGCAAUCCUGAAUCUAUGAACACGAUUGGCAGAACAAUAAAUAUUGAUUGUCUUGGCCACUCACCAAAUAAAGUGCUCCUGGGAAGGCUGAGAUCUAAUGCAAAGCAGCAGCUUGACUUUCUCACUCCCUGGCAACAAUGCCAAGCAAGAGAAAGCGAUGGGUAAGGCCUGGCUCAAGAGUCUCACUGCAACCUGCACUGUAGAUUCUACCUGCUAAUUUCCUCAGCCUUCUCUGGUUUUGGGCUUCAGAAUGCCCUAACUCUGGGCCCGGCGCGGUGGCUCACGCCUGUAAACCCAUCACUUUGGGAGGCCAAGGCGGGUGGAUCACAAGAUCAAGACCAUCCUGGCCAACAUGGUGAAACCCUGUCUCUACUGAAAAUACAAAAAUUAGCUGGGCAUGGUGGCUUGUGCUUGUAAUCCAGCUACUUGGAAGGCUGAGGCUGGAGGAUCGCUUGAACCCAGAAGGCAGAGGUUGCAGUGAGCUGAGAUCACACCACUGCACUCCAGCCUGGCAACAGAGUGAGACUCUGUCUCAAAAAAAAAAAAAAAAAAAAAAAGAAUGCCCUAAGUCUACUCUGGACCAUGAGCAAGGAUAAUCUGUCUUAGAGGAGAGAAGGUGAGGUUAUGAUUCCAGAGCAUUUGGUGACCCAGGAAGUAGACCUGCCUCCUCCUAUCUGUCCACAGAGCAGUCCUAGGGGCAAUAGGCCAUGAGAAGAUCAUGCCAGGCAGUCCAUUUCUAUAUUACCAUGUAAACAAAAACUCAGCUGUGAACCCUGGAACGUUCGUAUUCUGCAGCUGCCAGUGUAAACUGGUACAGGCCUCUUGAAGAACAGUGGGGAAAGGCACUCUGAAAGCAUCCACGCCUCCAUACCUGCUGAUCCAGGGCUCUGAUUUUCCUUCUGGGAACCAAGCCUAGGAGAAUGAUUCAAGCUGCAGAAAACCUUUCUCCACUAAGAUGUUUGCUGUGGCAUUCAGUAUAAUAGCACACCAGAGAAACAAUCUAAAGAUUCAUCAGUAGGAGAAUAUCUAAGUAAAUUAUGGUACAUACACUCAAUAAAAUGUUAUAUGACUACUAA